AAGAGGUGGAGGAGCAGAAGAAGAACAAAGAACGACAUCUAGUUUUCUUCACGCAACACUUAACAGGAAGAGUUUGAGGCAUGGCGGACAAGAGUCCCACAGAGGAAUUGUGAUUGUCUCGACAGCCUCAUUCAAGCAAGAAGAACCGAGGGACAGAAGGACACUUGGAAAAGCUGAGGAUGGAGGGAGUGGAGAGGAAGAGGUAGAGAGAGUGGAAGAAGAAUGUGAUGGGAGGAAUGAGGAUGGGGUUAGGGUAGAGGACAUGAAUGGGAGGGACAAUGAAGAGGACAAGGUAUAUGGAAAACCUGAAGAAGCAUUGGAGAACGAUGAAGUACAAGAAGAAGAAUGGAAAGGAGAGGAUAUGUUUUACAAUGGUGAUGAGGGAGAGUGGAACAAAGCUGAAGAGUGGGAUGGUAGACCUAAGGGAGAGGGCAAGAUAGAAGAAAGGCCCACAGAUGGAGUGAAGAGAGAGGACAGAUCAGAUGUUAAAGCAAAAGGCAUUGUCAACAGAGGGGGAAGAAGCUUGGAGCACAGAUGCUUAGCCUGAUCGUGCUGAAGUUUCCUCAGUCCAAGAAUCAGAGGAUGUCAAAGCUCAGGACAGCUACAGACCUGAGUCCUAGGACCAUGCCCCAGGACUACCUGACAUGAUGACUCCUUGCUGUCCCCAGUCCACCUGGCCGUGCUGCUGCUCCAGUUUCAACUGUUCUGCCUUAUUAUUAUUCGACCAUGCUGGUCAUUUAUGAACAUUUGAACAUCUUGGCCAUGUUCUGUUAUAAUCUCCACCCGGCACAGCCAGAAGAGAACUGGCCACCCCACAUAGCCUGGUUCCUCUCUAGGUUUCUUCCUAGGUUUUGGCCUUUCUAGGGAGUUUUUCCUAGCCACUUUGGGGUUUUAGGCUGGGUUUCUGUACAGCACUUUGAGAUAUCAGCUGAUGUACGAAGGGCUAUAUAAAUACAUUUGAUUUGGAUUUGACACAGAGGAACUCUGCUCUAUGUCAGUUGGACAGUGUUGAGAGCCAGGUAGAAAAGGAUCUCCCGAGGUGAGGAGGCUGAUGCAUGUAUUACAGUAUUGUGUUUGUACAGUACAUAUCUCACAACAAUUUAAUCAGAUACAUGAAAUAAUCAUUUACAAAUAUAUACUAUAUUUCCCUCUAACUUGUUUCCCUGCUUGGCCAAUCCUAGACAUGAGUACCUGCAGAAGGUGCGGAGAGAGAGAACCCGGCGGGCCCAUGAGAGGAGAGGGGACGUGGAGCCCCAGCGCCUCCAGCAGUGGGUCAACCAGCCCCACCACACCCGCUGUUGGAGUGCCCACCCUGGGGGCCAUGGUGAGACAACAUGCUGCUGAACCAUGGUGCACAUAGUGGCCCAACACUGCCCUUUAUGAUUAUCAUGCAAUAGCUAUUCUAACACUAUUAUAAACACUCUCACAUUGAUUCUUAUAACAUAUGUAUCGUUUGGGUGACCUGUCCUCUACCAUUUUUUGUCAGAGAGGCAUAUAUUUGAUGCUCUAGAAUCUAGGCAAUGUGAGCAGGGUAGGUACAUGCCCCGCCAUCCAGCUCCAUAAUGGGGGUACCCCCCACAGUCACCUGCCUCCCCCCAGUCACGCUGCAUCUCCACCCCUGGUCUCACUCUGCCACCCCACAGCCAAAACCCUGCAUCAGGCCUGGGACUCAGAGGAAGAUCAGCCUUUCAGGUAAAAGCUUCCAUAUGGGCAUGUGUUUAGCUCAGUAGGUGAUGCAAUGUGUAUCACAGGCCUUGUGGCCAACGUCUCUUUUUCUUACUGUUAUUUUAUGAAGUAAUGUACAGUAUGUGAGUACAGUAAUGUCACAUCAGUGUUGGUGUGUGCGGUAUGUGUGUGCUGAAAUCUGCUGUGGUCCACCUUAGGCUCUCGAUGUCUGUGGAGCUUUGCAGCUCCUUCAGGGUUAUCUUUGGUCUCUUAGUUGCCUCUCUGAUUAAUGCCCUCCUUGCCUGGUCUGUGAGUUUUGGUGGACGGUUCCCUCUUGGCAGGUUUGUUGUGGUGCCAUAUUCUUUCCAUUUUUUAAUAAUGGAUUUAAUGGUGCUCCGUGGGAUGUUCAAAGUUUCAGAUAUUUUUUAUAAGCCAACUCUGAUCUGUACUUCUCGACAACUUUCUCCCUGACCUGUUUGGAGAGCUCCUUGGUCUUCAUGGUUCUGCUUGCUUGGUGGUGGUCCUUGCUUAGUGGUGUUGCAGACUCUGGGGCCUUUCAGAACAGGUGUUUAUAUACUGAGAUCAUGUGACAGAUCAUGUGACACUUAAAUAAAGUCCACAAGUGUGCAAUCUAACUAAUUAUGUGACUUCUGAAGGUAAUUGGUUGCACCAGAUCUUAUUUAGGGGCUUCAUAGCUUCCGUAUAUUCUUUUGAUUUCACUUCAGCAAUUUAGAUUAUUUUGUGUAUGUCCGUUACAUGCAAUCCAAAUCAAAAAUCUAUUUAAAUUACAGGUUGUAAUGCAACAAAAUAGGAAAAACGCCAUGUCAUGCAGUUAAUAUACUUUUUGGGAGGAGAUUGAUCGAAAGGUCAAAUCUGACUUUUAAUCUUCUAGCCAUGACCGUCCCGCUCAGCGGCUUGUGUUCGCAUCAGCGAACUGUAAAGGUCAUAUCCAAGCGACGACAAAAAACAGUUGGAUGUAAACAAAUAUACAGACAGGGGAGGUAUAAUUAGCAUGUUACUGUGUAUUAUGAUUAAAUCCAGAACAGAUUUAGAAACAACAGGGUUUCGUUUUUUCACAUUUUCACAUUUUGGAAGUAUUGCAUGUCCGCAAUUCUUUCUAAUUGUCUUAUCAACUUGUUUUUUACGUUUGGAACUAAGGAAGUGGUCUAAGGAAGUGGUCGGCUUAGAUCAGUGGUUCCCAACUCCGAUCCUUGAGUACCUCCAACAGUGCCCCAUUUUAUUGUAGCCCCGGACAAGCCAACCUGAUUCAACUAGUCAACUAAUCAUCAGGCCCUCAAUGAGUUGAAUCAGGUAUGUUUGUGCGGAGCUGCAACAAAAAUGUGUGCUGUUGGAGGUACUUUGUCAGAAGGUGAGUGUAGCUGGUGCAUCAUGUCAGGCGCAGGAGAGCAAAAUGAGUGAGCAACGUACUUUACUCAAAAAUUAAAGGCACAAGGUAAACAAAUACUCUUGACCAAAAAAACAAUGGAAAAUAUUACUCACAGGUGAACACAGCACCCGUCGAAAAACCAGCCAUCGUGAACCGAACUGAACAUAGAGAUAAUUACGCACAACAAACAUGGGGGAAACAGAGGGUUAAAUACAUGAUACAUUGGAUAAUGAAAACCAGGUGUGUAGAAAAUAAAGACAAAACCAAUGGAAAAUGAAAGAUGGAUCAGCGAUGGCUAGAAGACCGGUGAACGCCGCCCGUACAAGGAGAGGGGCCGACCUCGGCGGAAGUUGUGACAGUAACCCCCCCCUUGACGCGCAGCUCCAGCAGCGCGCUGACACCGGCCUCGGGGCAACCCGGAGGGCGAGGCGCAGGGCGAUCCGGAUGGAGACGGUGGAACUCCCGAAGCAUCAAUGGGUCCACACGUCCUCCACCGGCACCCAGCAUAUCUUCUCCGGACCAUACCCCUCCCACUCCACGAGGUACUGAAGGCCCUCGCCCCACGUCUCAAAUCCAGUAUGGAUCGAACUGCAUACGCCGGGGCCCCCUCAAUCCAGAGGUGGCGGAAGAACCUCCAGCACCUCAGACUCCUGGAAUGGACAGUCCACCACCGGCCUGACGAGAGACACAUGGAACUAGGGGUUAAUUCGAUAAUCGGGGGGAAGCUGUAACCUGUAACAUACAUCGUUCAGUCACCUCAGGACUUUGAAUGGCCCCACAAACCGCGGGCCCAGCUUCCGACAGAGCAGGCGGAUGGGCAGGUUUCAGGUCAAGAGCCUGGUGCGAACACUGGGGCCUCACUGCUGUGGCUAUCUGCGCAGGUUUUCUGGCGCCUCACGGCCCGCUGAAGGUGCACAUGAGCGGCAUCCCAGGUCUCCUCAGCACGCCUAAACCAGUCAUCCACCGCAGGAGCCUCAAUCUGGCUCUGAUGCCAAGGCGCCCGGACCGGCUGGUACCCCAGUACACACUGGAAGGGGGAAAGGUUAGUGGAGGAGUGGUGGAACGAGUUCUGGGCCAUCUCUGCCCAGGGCAAGAAUGCCGCCCACUCUCCCGACCUGUCCUGGCAAUAGGGCCGCAGAAACCUACCCACAUCCUGGUUCCCUCUCUCCACCUGCCCGUUACUCUCGGGGUGAAAACCCGAGGUAAGGCUAACCGAGAUCCCCAGACGUUCCAUGAACGCCCUCCAGACUGUUGACGUGAACUGCGGACCUCGAUCAGAUACUAUGUCCUCAGGCACCUCUUAGUGCCGGAAGACGUGAGUAAACAGAGCCUCCGCCAUCUGUAGGGCUGUAGGGAGACCGGGCAAAGGGAGGAGACGACAGGACUUAGAAAACCGAUCCACAACGACCAGGAUCAUGGUGUUGCCCUGUGAUGGAGGAAGAUCCUUUAGGAAAUCCACCGACAGGUGCGACCACGGCCGUUGUGGAACGGGUAAGGGUUGUAACUUCCCUCUGGGCAAGUGCCUAGGGGCCUUGCACUGGGCGCACACCGAGCAGGAGGAGACAUAAACCCUCACGUCCUUAGCUAAAGUGGACCACCAGUACUUCCCACAAAGACAGCGCACUGUCCGACCGAUGCCCGGAUGACCAGAGGAGGAACGUACAGAACGUACAGACGCCCAGCUGGACAUUGAGGGGGAGUGGGCUCUGUACGUAACGCUCGCUCGAUGUCCAGCCUCACACUACCGGUGCCACCAGGCACGAGGCCGGGAGUACGGGAGUGGGAUCCAUGGGUUGCUUCUCUGUGUCAUACAUCCGGUACAGUGCGUCUGCCUUCCCGUUCUAGUAACCUGGUCUGUAGGAUAGGGUGAAAAUAAAACAGGUAAAAAACAUGGCCCACCUUGCCUGGCGAGGAUUCAGUCUCCUCGCCUCCCGGAUGUACUCCAGAUUGCGAUGGUCAGUCCAGAUGAGAAAAGGGUGUUUAGCCCCCUCAAGCUCAAGGCAGGUGAAGUGGAGGGCUGAAUGUACCCCUGCCCCACGGAUUCGGAGACAUAUGUUUCCAUAGCCGUCGUCUCGUCUUAUGACAGGGGAUACACGUGACCUAAUUAUGACCCUAAUUAUACUUCUAAAGCAACACUCGAGUGGUUUAAGGGGAAAAUUUUACAUUUCUUGGAAUGGCCUAGUCAAAGCCCAGACCUCAAUCCAAUUGAGAAUCUGUGGUAUGACUUAAAGACUGCUGUACACCAGUGGAACCCAUCCAACUUGAAGGAGCUGGAGCAGUUUUGCCUUGAAGAAUGGGCAAAAAUCCCAGUGGCUAGAUGUGCCAAGCUUAUAGAGACAUACCCCAAGAGACUUGAGGCUGUAACUGCUGCAAACGGUAGCUCUACAAAGUAUUGACUUAGGGGGGUUGAAUAGUUAUGCAUGCUCAAGUUCUGUUUUCUUCUCUUAUUUCUUGUUUGUUUCACAAUAAAAAAUAUUUAGCAUCUUCAAAGUGGUAGGCAUGUUGUGUAAAUCAAAUGAUACAAACCCCCCCAAAAUCUAUUUUAAUUCCGGGUUGUAAAGGCAGCAAAGUAGGAAAAAUGCCAAGGGGGGUGAAUACUUUCACAAGCCACUGUGAUCGUCUAGAAUGUCUUCGAAUGCUGCAGGGUAAGAUGUCACCUUUGGAUGGUGGAUCAUUCUUGAUACCCUUGGGAAAAUGUUGAGGUUGAAAAGAACGAUGCGCCUGGCACCUACUACCAUACCCUGUUCAAAGGCACUUAUAUAUAGUGUCUUGCCUGUUCAUCCUCUGAAUCGCACACAUACAAAAUCCAUGUCUCAAUUGUCAAGACUUUAAAAUCCUUCUUUAAUCUGUCUACUCUCCUUCAUCUGUAGGUUUCAUCAAGUGACAUCCUUAAUAAGGGUUCUUAGUUUUCACCUGGAUUCACCUAGUCAAUGUCAUGGAAAGUACAGGUGUCCUUAAUGUUUAGUAUACACAUAUACAGUACCAGUCAAAAGUUUAGACACACCUACUCAUUCAAGGGUUUUACUAUUUUCUACAUUGUAGAAUAAUAGUGAAGACAUCAAACUAUGAAAUAACACAUAUGGAAUUAUGUAGUAACCACAAGUGUUAAACAAAUCAAAAUAUAUCUUAUAUUUGAGAUUCUUCAAAGAAGCCAUUGCCCUUGAUGACAAAUUUGCACACAAAGAGAAACGACAGUCCUUCAUUACUAAGACAUGAAGGUCAGUCAAUCGGAAACAUUUCAAGAAAUUUUAAAGUUUCUUCAAGCGCAGUUGCAAAAACCAUCAAGCGCUAUGAUUAACUGGCUCUAAUGAGGACCGCCACAGAAAAGGAAGACCCAGAGUUACCUCUGCUGCAGAGGAUAUGUUCAUAGAGUUACCAGCCUCAGAAAGUACAGCCCAAAUAAAUGCUUCACGGAGUUCAAGUAACAGGACAUCUCAACAUCAACUGUUCAGAGGAGACUGAGUGAAUCAGGCCUUCAUGAUCGAGGUGCUGUAAAGAAACCACUACUAAAGGACACCAAUAAGAAGAAGAGACUUGAUUGGGCCAAGAAGCACAAGGAAUGGACAUUAGACCUGUGGAAAUAUGUCCUUUGGUCUGAUGAGUCCAAAUUUGAGAUUUUUGGUUCCAACCACCGUGUCUUUGUGAGAUGUAGAGUAGGUGAGCAGAUGAUCUCUGCAUGUGUGGUUCCCACCAUGAAGCAUGGAGGAAGAGGUGUGAUGAGCUGACAGGGUAGCCUACUGGUUAGAGCGUUGGGCUAGUAACUGAAAGGUUGCGAGAUUGAAUCCCCUAGCUGACAAGGUAAAAAUCUGUUGUUCUGCCCCUGAACAAGGCAGUUAACCCACUGUUCCUAGGCCGUCAUCGAAAAUAAGAAUUUGUUCUUAACUGACUUGCCUAGUUAAAUAAAGGUAAAAUAAAAAUGGUGCUUUGGUGGUGACACUGUCAGUAUUUUUAUUUAUUUAUAAUUCAAGGCACACUAAACCAGCAUGGCUACCACAGCAUUCUACAGGGAUAUACCAUCCCAUCUGGUUUGCGCUUAGUGGGACUAUCAUUUGUUUUCAACAGGACAAUGACCCAGCACACCUCCAGGCUCUAAGGGCCUUUUUGACCAAGCACAAGAAGGAGAUGGAGUGCUGCAUCAGAUGACCUGGCCUCCACAAUCACCCGACCUCAACCCAAUUCAGAUGGUUUGGGAUGAGUUGGACCGCAGAGGGAAGGAAAAGCAGCCAACAAAUGCUCAGCAUAUGUAGGAACUCCUUCAAGACUGUUGGAAAAGCAUUCCUCAUGAAGCUGGUUGAGAGUCGGAGUGUGCAAAAAGUGUGCAAAGCUGUCAAGGCAAAGGGUGGCUACUUUGAAAAAUCUAAAAUAUAUGUAUAUAUUUGUUGAACACUAUUUUUGCUUACUUCAUGAUUCCAAAUGUGUUAUUCCAUAGUGUUGAUGUCUUCUCUAUUAUUCUACAAUGUAUAAAAUAUUACAAAUAAAGAAAAACCCUUGAAUGAGUAGGUGUUCAAACUUUUGACUGGUCCUGUAUAUAUAUCUACAGACAAUUCCUUCAACCUCAUGGCUUGGUUUUUGCUCUGUGUGACCUUACAGUAUAUAAACAGGUGUGUGCCUUUCCAAAUGAUGUCCAAUCAAUUGAAUUUACCACAGGUGGACUCCAAUCAAGUUGAAAAACAUCUCAAGGAUGAUCAAUGGAAACAGGAUGAACCUGAGAUCAAUUUCGAGUCUCAUAGCAAAGGGUCUCAAUACUUAAGUGAAUAAGGUAUUUCUGUUUUAAAAUGUUAAUAUAUAUAUAUAGGGGUCUCAUCUUAAUAUUGAGGUAGAAUAGUAGUUGUGCAGCAGUUUUUCUCUUGUUCCACUCAAUUAGCCGAUGUCAGCAACAUUUUUUAAACUUCGGUAAUAUAGUCUAGCCAUUGAUUUUGUUCGUCAGUCUCACUCAUAUCAUAUUUAAAACUGCAAACAUUUCUCUCCACCCUAUGGCAGAAGUAGUAGAAUUGCAGAAAAUUAGCUGUUGCACUGCAAAUGUUUCUCUCUGCCCCAUGGCAGAAUUUGUAGAAUUGCAUGAAAUUAUUUAACAAAUGGCAAAAUCUUCUCUCCGCCCCAUGGCAUUUUUUUCUCUCUCUCUCUCCUCUGUCACGAGGGUGGUCAUUAAAAUGAUUUUCUCGCAACAAAAUUGAACUUAUGGCCCCCAGAAAACUAGGGCCGGCUCUGACUGCAUGUGUCAAUAUGGAUUUGGGUAUUCACAGCCGCGAGCCACUGCAGCCUCAUGAUGAGUUCAGAUUUUUUGUGGUCCUCACCCCAAUCAAAGUUGUCCAUCCCUGGGUUAAGGUUAGCUAAAAUGCAAAAAUGUUCAAAUUUGGACAUUCAUUUGACAAAAGCUAGAUCCCUUCUGUGUAAAUUAAUCUAACCUGCUACUAAAAAGUGACUUCCGGUCAUAGCUGUCAAAACAAGACCUAGUCAAAACAUGACACUUCGAUACAGCUACAACCGGAAGUAACUAUCUGUAGCAGGUUAGGAGAGCAUUUUUGCUAACCCGAACCCGUUUCCUAACCUCAUUCCCCUAACCUGCUGCAGAAGUUCUAACCUGUAACAUAAGUCACUUCCAGUAGUAGCUGUAUUGAAGUGGCGUGUUUUUAGGGAAUAUGGUCGCAGGUUUGGACUAGUGGUAUAUACGUACAGCAGCUAAGACCGGAAGUUACUUUUUCGCAGCAGGUUAGAUUAAUUUAAGCAGCAGGUUAAGAUAAUUAGGAAAAGGGUUAGUGUUAGCUAAAGUGCUCUCCUAACCUGCUACGAGAAGUCACUUCCAUCUGUAGCUGUACUCAAUCUAGUUACAACUAUGGUCGCAGGCUGGUUAGUGCUAUCCGGAUUCCUUGGGAUGUCCCUACCCAUAACACUAACCUUACCUAACCCUUACCGUAAAAAAAACAUUUUAAAAUUCAACUUCAAUGGGGUAAUGUCAGAGUUGGGAUGUCCCAAGGAUCCCGUCGCAGGCCUGGUCACAGGUCAAGUAAUCAAUCCGUCGAUGACAUCGAUAGGUGUCCAAUGCAGGCAUACAAAAUGGAAUCUGUCAAAAAUGAUAAAUGCAUCCUCUCUUCGACUGUAGCCUGCUACAUAAGAGUUGAAUUGUAAACCAGUAAAAGUCUACAACAAAAGUUUAAAAAAGCACAGAAUAUUCAGCAAACAUUGCAUGGAAUGGUGUUGAUUAAUGUAUGACGCAUAGCCUUUGUCUGGCAAUUGCAGUUAGCACUGUAGGCUAUUUCAAAACAACCAAUGAAAUGUAUGUAAACUUAAUUGAGGUUUUAACAUAGUUUCUUUUUUUUCUUCAUUUCACCACAUGGCGAUGAGUAAACAUGUAAUUGCCUGUUGAAUUAUUGACCUUUGCGACGUGAAUAUUCUGUAUGCAGUUAUCAAGAAAGAUCUGCAGUUACUGGAUCUGUAACCGGAGGCAAACACAGAGCACAUAAUUUUAAUUGUGCUUUUAUCAUUGGAAAGAGCCAUAAAACUACUAUGGCCUUCUCAAUUUAUGACCAGGUGAUAAAUGCUGACUGUGAUGAACUCAUAUAUAAAGAGGCAUGCCUUCUUCAACACAAUAUGCCUUCAGUCCUCGAAAGAGCAGUGGUUGUUGAAGGAGUAAGUGGUAUCUGCAGUAAAUACAAUUCAGGGAAGAAUGGCUUC